GAUGCAAUUGGCAUGCAGGUUUGCUGUAGGAAACUGCUAUAGCUUGCAGAAAGAUCAAGGAACUUCUCUGAAAAAUUUUCAGCGUGCUGUUAAUCUCAACUCAAAAUUUGCAUAUGCCCAUACCCUAUGUGGCCAUGAAUAAGGGGUAUGUAGCCUUGAGGAUUUUGAAAAUGGAAUAAAGCGCUAUCAGAGUGCCCUCAGAAUAGAUGCAAGACACUAUAACAUGUGGUAUGGUCUUGGGAUGGUAUAUCUUCGCCAAGAGAAGUUUGAGUUCACUGAGCAUGCUUUAAAGGUACUUGCAUGAAAUUUGUCUUCUGCUUACAAUAAAGUUAUGUUUAAUGAUGAAGCAAAGUAGGACUUGGGGAUUGACCUAGCUGCCUUGACGUGUGAACCUUUAUUUUGAAAAACUUAUUAUGUUAAUAUGUUAUUGUGAGCAAGUAAACCACAUAUUUCUUGUUAAAUUGAGUGCUAUCUAUAGGGAUAUGAGAUUUUUUUUUGUCUCCAUGAUGACAAUUUGGUUUGUUACAUUACUUUGUACCAACUGGACUUUAUAGGGAAUGGAUAGCCAUUUAUUAUAUUCUUGUG